rnacentral:lncRNA from 1 species
UUUUUCUGCACACACCAAGCAAGAAAUCAGUUCCGCAGCAGACACCAGCUGGAAGUCCUCCGAUUCAAUUCGGCUACCAUCUACCUGGAGAUAGCGUCAGAUCCCACAGGGCUCAGUUCCAUAAAGCUGCCUUCUCUUCAGACACCAGCGGCUAAGAAGAUUGAAAUCCCGAGAAACAAUUUUCUGAAGAAAUGAAAUCAUAUGCCCUCCUGAACUCUUUGGGGGAAAAUAGCCUCUCUGUUUGCUCAGAAUAUGAAACAGUAAAACAGUACAAGUAAAACAGUCAGCCUUGCCAUGC